UUUAAUUUUUUUUUCGUGUACAGAAAGAUGAAGUGGAGUUUUUUCGGAAUAAAUUUUGCUGGCAGUCAAGCUGACCGAGCUGACUGGGCUGUUAAGGAAGAAGCUGAAGCAAAAAAAGUUACUGAAAAGUUGAAGAACACAAAAAUUUCAGGUCAUUAUUAUUUUUCCCUGAAAACCCUAAACCUCUUAAUACUUAGUGAUAAAGCAAAACGGUUGGUAAUUAUUAUUAUUAUUUUUAUUUUAUUUAAUUUUAAUAAUGUUUGCAGAAAAAAGUGGAAAGAAAGAAAAGGGGCAGAAGUCUGGUGUUGGUGAAAAAGCAAAAACAAAGGGAGCUGUUGUGGAAAAGGAAGUAACGAAGGGAGAGGAUUCUUUUCCACUAUUAACUAAAAUUACAUGAAGUUAAAGUUAGGUCCUCUUCUUUGUGUUGAGUGCUUGUUGCUCUGAUUUUGAUCUAUGUGUUGAGUGCUUUUCUGUUGGUGUUGAGGUUUAUCCUCAUAAAAGCAAUCAUCCAUAUAGAGUAACGGUUAGUAAUUUGUUGUUGGUAUACAAUUGUUGAAGUUUGUUGUUGUGUUCCAGUAUAUCCCCGGUGACGACAAGCCACCACCGGAGGACCGCCGUUGAACAGCCCCAAAAUCCGGUGGCCACUGCCCACAGAACAGGUAAGGAUGCUUUGAUUUGUUUUUUUUACUGAUUUGUUGUUUUUCGGUGACCACCAGCCACCAUCGGAAGACCACCGUUGAAGCCAACCCGGAGAAAUCCCGCUGCCACUGCCAUAUAACAGUCAUCUACUAAAGCAAGGUUGGUGUAAGAGUUGAUGACGAGAACAUUGUUCCAAGACCUUCAGUGAGUUAUGAUGAUGUCCUUUAAUAGCAAUGUAGUAUUAGGUUAUAUAGUUAGCAAUGAUUAUUUGUAUUUGACAUUUUAGUGCAAUGAAUUAUCUUUUUUA